rnacentral:piRNA from 1 species
UGCUAGUGGCAGAGUUGGUGUGU